rfam:Synechococcus WH7803 complete genome sequence.
CCUAUGCUUCCGCCAGCGGUCCCCUCUUUGGGGCCCAGCGCUCCAGUGGCCGACAGGGGUUUCGCUCCUGUCGCCAUUGGCGCCCGGUCGUGGUGACGCUUCGCGGAGCUGCGUCCGGGGCCCCGGUGAACAUCUGUUUAUCGGAGGGGUGGCCCACCACCUCGAUCCCGUCCCUCGAGGAACGACUCGAUGA